rnacentral:rRNA from 1 species
UUUUUUGGCUUUUCAAAUAAACUGAGGAAAAGAAACCAACAGGGAUUGCCUUAGUAGCGGCGAGUGAAGCGGCAAAAGCUCAAAUUUGAAAUCUGGCUCUUUCAGAGUCCGAGUUGUAAUUUGAAGAAGGUAUCUUUGGGUCUGGCUCUUGUCUAUGUUUCUUGGAACAGAACGUCACAGAGGGUGAGAAUCCCGUGCGAUGAGAUGAUCCAGGCCUAUGUAAAGUUCCUUCGAAGAGUCGAGUUGUUUGGGAAUGCAGCUCUAAGUGGGUGGUAAAUUCCAUCUAAAGCUAAAUAUUGGCGAGAGACCGAUAGCGAACAAGUACAGUGAUGGAAAGAUGAAAAGAACUUUGAAAAGAGAGAGAAAAAGUACGAGAAAUUGAAGAAAAGGAAGGGCUUGAGAUCAGAGGGGGUAUUUUGUAUGUUACUUCUUCGGGGGUGGCCUACACAGUUUAUCGGGCCAGCAUCAGUUUGGGCGGCAGGAGAAGGGCGUUGGGAAGUGGCACGGUCCCGGUGGUGUAGCCUAGCCCUCGUCUGAACCAACCCGCCCGACUGAUGCCUCCGGUGAUACCUAGGAUGCUGGCAUAAUGAUCCAAGACUGGUGA